rnacentral:rRNA from 1 species
AGGACGAACGCUGGCGGCGUGCUUAACACAUGCAAGUCGAACGGAUUCGUGGCACUUGUGUCGCGGGUUAGUGGCGAACGGGUGAGUAACACGUGAGUAACCUGCCCCAGACUCUGGGAUAACUCCGGGAAACCGGUGCUAAUACUGGAUAUGACAUCAAGCCGCAUGGUUAUGGUGUGGAAAGUUUUUCGGUCUGGGAUGGGCUCGCGGCCUAUCAGCUUGUUGGUGAGGUAGUGGCUCACCAAGGCGACGACGGGUAGCCGGCCUGAGAGGGCGACCGGCCACACUGGGGACUGAGACACGGCCCAGACUCCUACGGGGGGCUGCAGUAACGAAUCUUCCGCAAUGCACGAAAGUGUGACGGAGCGACGCCGCGUGUGGACGAAGUCCUUCGGGAUGUAAACCACUGUCAGGGGUAAGAAGUUCUGAUCUACCCCAGAGGAAGGCACGGCUAACUCUGCGCCAGCAGCCGCGUAA